UGCCAGCAGCCGCGGUAACACGUAAGGUGCGAGCGUUGUUCGGAAUUAUUGGGCGUAAAGCGCGUGUAGGCGGUUCGUUUAGUCCGAUGUGAAAGCCCUGGGCUCAACCCCGGAAGUGCAUUGGAAACUGGCGAACUUGAGUACGGGAGAGGAAAGUGGAAUUCCGAGUGUAGGAGUGAAAUCCGUAGAUAUUCGGAGGAACACCAGUGGCGAAGGCGGCUUUCUGGCUCGAUACUGACGCUGAGGUGCGAAAGCGUGGGGAGCAAACAGGAUUAGAUA
rnacentral:rRNA from 1 species